UACGUAGGGGGCAAGCGUUGUCCGGAAUCAUUGGGCGUAAAGAGCGUGUAGGCGGCUCGGUAAGUCCGCUCUGAAAGCCCGGGGCUCAACCCCGGGAGGCGGGCGGAUACUGUCGGGCUAGAGUCCGGAAGAGGCGAGUGGAAUUCCUGGUGUAGCGGUGAAAUGCGCAGAUAUCAGGAGGAACACCAGCGGCGAAGGCGGCGCUCUGGGCCGGUACUGACGCUGAGGAGCGAAAGCGUGGGGAUCAAACAGG
rnacentral:rRNA from 1 species